UACGUAGGGGGCGAGCGUUGUCCGGAGUUACUGGGCGUAAAGCGCACGCAGGCGGUCUGUUAAGUUUGGAGUGACAGUUGGUGGCUUAACUGCCAAAGUGCUUCGAAAACUGACAGACUUGAGGGCUUCAGAGGGACACGGAAUUCCGGGUGGAGUGGUGAAAUGCGUAGAGAUCCGGAGGAACACCGACGGCGUAGGCAGCGCCCUAGACGAGACCUGACGCUCAGGCACGAAAGCGCGGGGAGCGAACAGG
rnacentral:rRNA from 1 species